rnacentral:rRNA from 1 species
UACUAUAAUAUUUUUAAAUUAUAGAAGAUUAGAGUAGUAAUAGUUAAGAUCUUGAAACUCAAAGAAUUUGGCGGUAUUUUAGUCCUUUCAGAGGAAUCUGUCCUGUAAUUGAUAUUGCACGAUUUAUGGUACUUUCUUUUGUUUUACAACUUGUAUACCGCCGUCAUAAGAUUAUCUUUAAGAGGGAAUUAAAUUUCUUUAUUUUGUAUUAGUAGUUAUGUCAGGUCAAGGUGCAGUUUAUGGGGAAGUUGGUGAUGGAUUACAAUAAUAAUAAUUAUAUGGAUGUUAUAUUAUAAUAGUUAGCUCAAGGUGGAUUUGAUUGUAAAUUUAGUUUAUAAUGUUAUUUUGAUUGGGGCUCUAAAAUGUGCACACAUCGCCCGUCACUCUCGUAUUUAAUAUGAG